CAUAUCACUGAUCGUUGUUUAGGUACAUUAAACCACGUUAAGCUUUUUCCUUAUAAUAGGCUCUAAUGAAGCAGAAAAGCUUAAUGUCAGAUAACGUCCAUAAUAAUUGGACUUUGGGUUUGAUUUUUUGACCGUUUUCAGUGGUUAUGAGGAGCAAUAUGAGAGAGAAAUUUGGUGAUCAUUGA